rnacentral:rRNA from 1 species
GGACGACAACUGACGCUGAGGCGCGAAAGCGUGGGGAGCAAACAGGAUUAGAUACCCUGGUAGUCCACGCCGUAAACGAUGGAUACUAGGUGUGGGGGGACUGACCCCCUCCGUGCCGCAGUUAACACAAUAAGUAUCCCACCUGGGGAGUACGAUCGCAAGAUUGAAACUCAAAGGAAUUGACGGGGGCCCGCACAAGCAGUGGAUUAUGUGGUUUAAUUCGACGCAACGCGAAGAACCUUACCGGGAUUUGACAUCCUGCUAACGAAGUAGAGAUACAUUAGGUGCCCUUCGGGGAAAGCAGAGACAGGUGGUGCAUGGUUGUCGUCAGCUCGUGUCGUGAGAUGUUGGGUUAAGUCCCGCAACGAGCGCAACCCUUAUUGUUAGUUGCUACGAAAGAGCACUCUAGCAAGACUGCCGUUGACAAAACGGAGGAAGGCGGGGACGACGUCAAAUCAUCAUACCCCUUAUGUCCCGGGCUACACACGUAAUACAAUGGCGGUCAACAGAGGGAAGCAAAGCCGCGAGGCAGAGCAAACCCCCAAAAGCCGUCUCAGUUCGGAUCGCAGUCUGCAACUCGACUGCGUGAAGUUGGAAUGCU